rnacentral:rRNA from 1 species
CGAGCACGCGCGUGUGGCAUAUCAAUAAGCGGAGGAAAAGAAACUAACAAGGAUUCCCUUAGUAACGGCGAGUGAAGCGGGAAGAGCUCAAAUUUGAAAUCUUCAAGGUUCUACCUUGACGAAUUGUAGUUUAUAGAAGUGUUUUCUGUUAGUGGAGUGGCAAAAGUUCUUUGGAAUAGGACAUCAUAGAGGGUGAGAAUCCCGUAUUUGGUCAUUCCUCCUAGCGUUGUGAUACACUUUCAACGAGUCGGAUUGUUUGGGAAUGCAGUCCAAAAUGGGUGGUAAAUUUCAUCUAAAGCUAAAUAUUGGCGAGAGACCGAUAGCGAACAAGUACCGUGAGGGAAAGAUGAAAAGAACUUUGAAAAGAGAGUUAAACAGUACGUGAAAUUGUCAAAAGGGAAGCGUUUGACACCAGUGUUGUUUUUCCGAAAAUCAAUUACUGAAUGGUUUGAUUUUAGAGUUCAUGACCUUCAAUCGCUUGUCUCCUUUCUUUACUGUACUUUCGUAAUGCACUUUUCGGUUAACAAGUCAACAUCAAUUUCUUUUGUUGUAAAAGGGUAUAGAGGAAGGUGGCUUUACUUUCGGAGUAAAGUGUUUAUAGCCUUUUACCUCUGCAAUCGGAGAGAUUGAGGUCUGCAGCGUAGAUCCUUCGGGGUUAGAUACGUUUGUGCUAAGUUAUAGCUUUUCAUAGACAACUUGUUGACUAUGUUUAGUCUUGUAGCUUACUCGCUUACGCUAUUUUACCUACGCUUAGGAUGUUGAUGUGAUACUGCGAGCA